GACGAACGCUGGCGGCGUGCUUAACACAUGCAAGUCGAACGGAAAGGCCCUGCUUUUGUGGGGUGCUCGAGUGGCGAACGGGUGAGUAACACGUGAGUAACCUGCCCUUGACUUUGGGAUAACUUCAGGAAACUGGGGCUAAUACCGGAUAGGAGCUCCUGCUGCAUGGUGGGGGUUGGAAAGUUUCGGCGGUUGGGGAUGGACUCGCGGCUUAUCAGCUUGUUGGUGGGGUAGUGGCUUACCAAGGCUUUGACGGGUAGCCGGCCUGAGAGGGUGACCGGCCACAUUGGGACUGAAAUACGGCCCAGACUCCUGCGGGAGGCAGCAGUGGGGAAUAUUGCACAAUGGGCGGAAGCCUGAUGCAGCAACGCCGCGUGCGGGAUGACGGCCUUCGGGUUGUAAACCGCUUUCGCCUGUGACGAAGCGUGAGUGACGGUAAUGGGUAAAGAAGCACCGGCUAACUACGUG
rnacentral:rRNA from 1 species